AGGAAGUAUUACCCCAAAAAAACCAAUUUACCUUGGCGGCAUCUUAUCUUAUCAGGGGAACCUGUCUUACAAUCGACAACACACGUUAAUUCUCACUUUAUUUCAAAAUCUAUAUACCGCCGUUACAUGAAACACUUUAAAGAUUUUCUUUCAAAAUAAAUAAUAAAACUCUAGGUCAAGGUGUAGUCUACAUUAAAGCAAAGAUGUGUUACAUUAAAUAAAAUUUAAGGCCUCAAGAUCAAAAUCAAAUACAAAAAAGGACUUGACAGUAAUAAAUUAAUAAUAAUUUUUUAUGAAGAAGAUAAAACAUGUGC
rnacentral:rRNA from 1 species